AGUGAACGCUGGCGGUAGGCCUAACACAUGCAAGUCGAACGGCAGCACAGUAAGAGCUUGCUCUUACGGGUGUCGAGUGGCGGACGGGUGAGGAAUACAUCGGAAUCUACUUUUUCGUGGGGGAUAACGUAGGGAAACUUACGCUAAUACCGCAUACGACCUACGGGUGAAAGCAGGGGAUCUUCGGACCUUGCGCGAUUGAAUGAGCCGAUGUCGGAUUAGCUAGUUGGCGGGGUAAAGGCCCACCAAGGCGACGAUCCGUAGCUGGUCUGAGAGGAUGAUCAGCCACACUGGAACUGAGACACGGUCCAGACUCCUACGGGAGGCAGUAGUGGGGAAUAUUGGACAAUGGGCGCAAGCCUGAUCCAGCCAUACCGCGUGGGUGAAGAAGGCCUUCGGGUUGUAAAGCCCUUUUGUUGGGAAAGAAAAGCAGCAGGUUAAUACCCCGCUGUUCUGACGGUACCCAAAGAAUAAGCACCGGCUAACUUCGUG
rnacentral:rRNA from 1 species